GAUGAACGCUAGCGGCAGGCUUAACGCAUGCAAGUCGAGGGGUAGAGUUAGCUUGCUAACUUGAGACCGGCGCACGGGUGCGUAACGCGUAUGCAAUCUACCUUUUACAGAGGGAUAGCCCAGAGAAAUUUGGAUUAAUACCUCAUAGUAUCUUUGCCUGGCAUCAGGUGAUUAUUAAAGUUCCAACGGUAAAAGAUGAGCAGGCGUCCUAUUAGCUAGAUGGUAAGGUAACGGCUUACCAUGGCAACGAUAGGUAGGGGUCCUGAGAGGGAGCUCCCCCCCACGGGUACUGAUACACGGACCAGACUCCUACGGGAGGCAGCAGUGAGGAAUAUUGGACAAUGGGCGCAAGCCUGAUCCAGCCAUGCCGCGUGCAGGAAGAAGCAUCUAUGGUGUGUAAACUGCUUUUGUACGGGAAGAAACACUCCCUCGUGAGGGAGCUUGACGGUACCGUAAGAAUAAGGAUCGGCUAACUCCGUGCCAGCAGCCGCAGUAAAAC
rnacentral:rRNA from 1 species